rnacentral:rRNA from 1 species
AGAGUUUGAUCCUGGCUCAGAUUGAACCAUGGCGGCAGGCCUAACACAUGCAAGUCGAACGGUAACAUUUCUAGCUUGCUAGAAGAUGACGAGUGGCGGACGGGUGAGUAAUGCUUGGGAACUUGCCUUUGCGAGGGGGAUAACAGUUGGAAACGACUGCUAAUACCGCAUAAUGUCUUCGGACCAAACGGGGCUUCGGCUCCGGCGCAAAGAGAGGCCCAAGUGAGAUUAGCUAGUUGGUAAGGUAACGGCUUACCAAGGCGACGAUCUCUAGCUGUUCUGAGAGGAAGAUCAGCCACACUGGGACUGAGACACGGCCCAGACUCCUACGGGAGGCAGCAGUGGGGAAUAUUGCACAAUGGGGGAAACCCUGAUGCAGCCAUGCCGCGUGUGUGAAGAAGGCCUUCGGGUUGUAAAGCACUUUCAGUUGUGAGGAAAAGUUAGUAGUUAAUACCUGCUAGCCGUGACGUUAACAACAGAAGAAGCACCGGCUAACUCCGUGCCAGCAGCCGCGGUAAUACGGAGGGUGCGAGCGUUA